rnacentral:rRNA from 1 species
UACGAAGGGGGCUAGCGUUGCUCGGAAUCACUGGGCGUAAAGGGUGCGUAGGCGGGUCUUUAAGUCAGGGGUGAAAUCCUGGAGCUCAACCCCGGAACUGCCUUUAAAACUGCAUCGCUUGAAUCCGGGAGAGGUGAGUGGAAUUCCGAGUGUAGAGGUGAAAUUCGUAGAUAUUCGGAAGAAACACCAGUGGCGAAGGCGGCUCACUGGACCGGUAUUGACGCUGAGGUGCGAAAGCGUGGGGAGCAAACAGG